UGACGAGGGGGGCGAGCGUUGUUCGGAAUUAUUGGGCGUAAAGGGUGCGUAGGCGGUUUGGUAAAGUCUGAUGUGAAAUCUAUGGGCUCAACUCAAUAGUCUGCAUCGGAAACUGCCGGGCUUGAGUAUGGGAGAGGUGAGUUGGAAAUUUCCUGGUGUAGCGGUGAAAAUGCGUAGAUAUCAAGGAGGAACACCUGUGGCGAAAAGCGGCUCACUGGACCUAUAAACUGACGCUGAUGACACGAAAAGCUAGGGGGGAGCAAAAC
rnacentral:rRNA from 1 species